rnacentral:snRNA from 1 species
GUGCUCACUUCAGCAGCACAUAUACUAAAAUUAGAAUGAUACCGAGAAGACUAGCAUGGCCCCUGUGCAAGGAUGGCAUGCAGUUUGUGAAGUGUUCCAUAUUUUA